CUUCAAGGUCCCGGGGAGUCUUUCACCUCCCUUUUUCUGAUCUCUUUUCAUGCUCCUCCUCGGUCAAAUCCAAAGAAAAACCGGAUGGCAAAAGAGCCCAGAACCUAUUGUACUCGAGAUAUUUUUCAGACCCUGCACUGGAUGGAUCAGCUGACACCCCCAGAUGAGUAAUCUGGCUCAGCCAGUUCUGCCAUCCCACCCAGGAACAGAAGAUGGCAAGAAAAACUCACUUCAACUCCCUAUGAUUCCAUCUCCAACCUGACCAUCAGCACGCCCCACUUCCCAAGCGCCUACCCUCCAAAUUAUCUCUAAAAACUCUGAUCCCCUAACAAACGCUCAGGGAGACUGAUUUGAAUAAUAAAACCCCGAUGUGAAUUA